AUUGAACGCUGGCGGCAUGCUUUACACAUGCAAGUCGAACGGUAACAGGCCGCAAGGUGCUGACGAGUGGCGAACGGGUGCGUAAUGCAUCGGAACGUGCCCAGUCGUGGGGGAUAACUACUCGAAAGAGUAGCUAAUACCGCAUACGAUCUAUGGAUGAAAGCGGGGGACCGUAAGGCCUCGCGCGAUUGGAGCGGCCGAUGUCAGAUUAGGUAGUUGGUGGGGUAAAGGCUCACCAAGCCAACGAUCUGUAGCUGGUCUGAGAGGACGACCAGCCACACUGGGACUGAGACACGGUCCAGACUCCUACGGGAGGCAGCAGUGGGGAAUUUUGGACAAUGGGCGAAAGCCUGAUCCAGCAAUGCCGCGUGCAGGAAGAAGGCCUUCGGGUUGUAAACUGCUUUUGUAAGGAAAGAAAAGGCUCUGGUUAAUACACGGGGCUAAUGACGGUACCGUAAGAAUAAGCAACGGCUAACUACGUG
rnacentral:rRNA from 1 species